rnacentral:piRNA from 1 species
UUGUUCCCAGUAAUACCUUCAACUAAAUCC